rnacentral:rRNA from 1 species
CGAACGUGGGGAACCGUGCCCCAUAGUCUGGGAUACCACUUGGAAACAGGUGCUAAUACCGGAUAAGAAAGCGGAUCGCAUGAUCAGCUUUUAAAAGGCGGCGUAAGCUGUCGCUAUGGGAUGGCCCCGCGGUGCAUUAGCUAGUUGGUAAGGUAAAGGCUUACCAAGGCGAUGAUGCAUAGCCGAGUUGAGAGACUGAUCGGCCACAUUGGGACUGAGACACGGCCCAAACUCCUACGGGAGGCAGCAGUC